AUUGAACGCUGGCGGCAUGCUUUACACAUGCAAGUCGAACGGUAACAGGCCGCAAGGUGCUGACGAGUGGCGGACGGGGGAGUAAUGCAUCGGAACGUGCCCAGUCGUGGGGGAUAACUACUCGCAAGAGUAGCUAAUACCGCAUACGAUCUAUGAAUGAAAGCGGGGGACCGUAAGGCCUCGCGCGAUUGGAGCGGCCGAUGUCAGAUUAGGUAGUUGGUGGGGUAACGGCUCACCAAGCCAACGAUCUGUAGCUGGUCUGAGAGGACGACCGGCCACACUGGAACUGAGACACGGCCCAGACUCCUACGGGAGGCAGCAGUGGGGAAUUUUGGACAAUGGGCGCAAGCCUGAUCCAGCAAUGCCGCGUGCAGGAAGAAGGCCUUCGGGUUGUAAAAUGCUUUUGUACGGAACGAAACGGUUCUGGUUAAUACCCGGGGCUAAUGACGGUACCGUAAGAAUAAGCACCGGCUAACUACGUG
rnacentral:rRNA from 1 species